AGGGAGCAGCAAUAGAGGCCAAGGUCAACUUUUCAGUGGGGUGGGGUGGGGGCGGGCUGGGCUUCCUUUGCACCCUGAUCCACUGCUCUAACCCAAACUGGGGGGAGCUCUCUCAUGGUAACCCAAACUGGGGGGAGCUCUCUCACGGUACAGCUCCUUUUGUGAAUAGCCAUUUUAAUUUCUGUAGGGACGGGACUGCUUGUGUCUUAGCUCUUGUUGCAUGGAGGCUUUCAUGUUGUUUGUCAUUUUGUACCCACAAGCCUUUGCUCUUUAAAAUGCUGCCUUUUCCCCCUCUUAUCCACAGUUGGGAAAUCCCAACUGCAUGGUAGGCUUGUCUCAUACUGAAACAUCCUCCAUUCCACAGUAUCCGGAGAGCCCAGACCUGUACCGUGGCCUCUGAGGCACAUAGUGCGCGCAAACACCGAGCCUCCAACUGACAGCUCAAUCUGACAGGCCUCCUGCUUCUGCCCGUGUCAAUCACACCGCCAUCCACUCCUGGGGCCUGCCUGUCACACCGCCAUCCACUCCUGGGGCCUGCCUGUCACACCGCCAUCCACUCCUGGGGCCUGCCUGUCACACCACCAUCCACUCCUGGGGCCUGCCUGUCACACCGCCAUCCACUCCUAGGGCCUGCCUGUCACACCGCCAUCCACUCCUGGGGCCUGCCUAUCACACCGCCAUCCACUCUUGGGGCCUUCCUAUCACACCGCCAUCCACUCCUGGGGCCUGCCUAUCACACCACCAUCCACUCCUGGGGCCUGCCUAUCACACCACCAUCCACUCCUGGGGCCUUCCUAUCACACCGCCAUCCACUCCUGGGGCCUGCCUAUCACACCGCCAUCCACUCCUGGGGCCUGCCUGUCACACCGCCAUCCACUCCUGGGGCCUGCCUAUCACACGGCCUGCCUGUCACUGCGCCCAGCUGUAAUGAAAGUAGUAGACUUACAUUCCAUUAAGUUCAUAUCAUCUUCCCAUACCCCAAUAUCAGCAGAAAGCAUCUUGCGGUCACAGACCGAAUCAUAGACCAAUGCUACGCUACUCUGGGGUGCUAACAGAUACGUCAUGUGCCAAAAAUUUUUCUGCAAUGCUGCUAAUAAAGCUUAUUUUCAUUUCAGAAAAUUAACCCUAUGCUGAUGUCCUAACGGGUAUCUAUGGCCUAAUUACAGGAAUACAGGAACUCCAGCGGUCUUCUCUGCAGUCAUAAACUAAUUUAGACGAGGUGUCAGACAACCACGGUCCCUUACAGCACUUGAGGGCAGAGCACCACAGUGGAAACCUCCAUUAGAAACUCCACAUCGUUCUGGAUAUGAGCAUCUGUGUGUGACUGUAACGAGAAAAGUCCUGUGUGAAAUUACAGGUAUGCUUCAUCAUGGACUGCAUUUUAUAUAGCACUUUUCAAUUGAUGCCUUUUAUUCACCCAUUCACAAACACUCACAAACACUCACACACCAACGGUGAAAGGCUGCCAUGCAAGGUACCAAUCAGCUCGUUGGGAGCAAUUAGGGGUUAGGUGUCUUGCUCAGGGACACUUCAACACGCCCAGGGUGGAGGAUCGAACCGGCAACCCUCCGACUGCCAGACAACCGCUCUUACCUCCUGAACUAUGUCGCUCAUCCUGGGGGAGAUACAGAGCACUGGGGGACCUUAAACAGGUAGACUCUAUAUCAUCAUCAUCCUCAUCAUCAACAACAACAACACUAUGAACCAUAUUUAAGUUAGGAGAAAAAUACUGUAUCAAAUUUAUUUUGUGCUUAUUAGUAAUGGAUAAUGACUAUAUGGUUUUGAAAGCACAUUUAUAUUUGGAGGACUUUUAUUUUUGUUGGAACUUUAAUUUUGAAAGAUCAAUUAGGCACCUGCUGUUUUCUCAAGAUGGCGCCUUACUGAGCACCACAGUCAGAAAAAGUAGUUUGGCAGACACUAGUGCCAACAGGUUUUCAUCAGCUUCAUGCUCCAUUUUGCUUUGCUUUACCUUAAGUUUGCCUUCAUUCUUAAGUAUAAUUGGAUUAUGUUCUCCCUUACAACUGGAGGAUCCUCCAUUGAUGGCUUCUCUCUCAAGCACAAAGGUAUGGCUUGCUUUACUAAAUCAGCUGUUCUGGUGUCUAUCUGUGGCUGUGGAAAAAUGAGCUGAACCAGACCAGCUGUUGCAAUUGUACCGGGAAUAAUUGUGAAUUGUUGGGAACUGAGAUUAUUGUUUGUUUGCUGGAAGGAGUUUGGAAAUUGUAUUUGUUUUGAAUUGUCUGGAGCAGAGGUUGUGUCAGACGUUCACUGAACAGGAGUACUGGUUUGUGAGUCUCCAUACAAACACUUUCUCUACUAUUUUAUUUCACAGUUUGUCCACUUAAUAAAAUUAAACAUGAGCCCAUGUUCAAA